AUUGAAGCGAUCUUUAUGACUUGUAUAAGCUGAUAAUCAGGUUCAGCGUCUCUACCGGGCACCUAAUGCCUGACUACAGGAGAAGAGAUGACUAUU
rnacentral:ncRNA from 1 species